AUGGCCAUGGAGUACACCUCAAGGCGCUGGCUGGCCGCGGUGGCGGCCAUCGUCCUGCUCUCGUGCGCCCCGGCCCUGGCGGCGGCGGCCGGCCGGAAGCUGCUGCAGAUCCAGAUCAGCCAGGCGCAGCAGUACGUGGUGCCGCAGAACCACAUGCGCGCGAUCCACGAGCAGCGCCCGCUCAAGUGGAGCAGCGGGCUGGCGGACCAGGCGGAGCGCUGGGCGGCGCGGUUCAAGGGCAACUGCGCGGCCGCGUCGGCGGCGAUGCCGGGCGGCGUCAAUGUGUUUCGCGGCUUCGGCGAGGCCGGGAAGGCGUGGCAGCCCAGCGACGCGGUGGCGGCGUGGGCGGAGCAGGCCAACUACUUCGACUUCGCGUCCGGCGGCUGCGCCUCCGGGAAGCUGUGCGCGCAGUUCAAGCAGGUGAUGUCCAAAGGCAACACAGACGUCGGGUGCGCCACCGUGAAGUGCACCGACGGCACCACGCUUAUGACCUGCCACUACUCGCCGCUGGGCAACAUCUUCGGGGAGAAGCCCUUCUGA
rnacentral:rRNA from 1 species